rnacentral:rRNA from 1 species
ACUGCUGAAGGAUGGUCCCGCGUCCCAUUAGCUUGUUGGCGGGGUAAUGGCCCACCAAGGCUCCGAUGGGUAGCCGGCCUGAGAGGGUGUCCGGCCACACUGGGACUGAGAUACGGCCCAGACUCCUACGGGAGGCAGCAGUCGAGAAGCUUCGGCAAUGGGCGAAAGCCUGACCGAGCGACGCCGCGUGAGCGAAGAAGGCCCUAUGGGUUGUAAAGCUCUGUCAGAUUGGGAAGAAAACUUCGCGGUUAAUACCCGCGAAGCUUGACGGUACCGUCAGAGGAAGCACCGGCUAACUCCGUGCCAGCAGCCGCGGUAAUACGGAGGGUGCAAGCGUUGUUCGGAUUCACUGGGUAUAAAGGGUGUGCAGGCGGCCCGAUAAGUCAGGGGUGAAAUAUGACGGCUCAACCGUCAAACUGCCCCUGAAACUGUCAGGCUUGAGUCCGGGAGGGGAAGGUGGAAUUCCUGGUGUAGCGGUGAAAUGCGUAAAUAUCAGGAGGAACACCAGUGGCGAAGGCGGCCUUCUGGCCCGGAACUGACGCUCAGACACGAAAGCUAGGGGAGCGAACAGGAUUAGAUACCCUGGUAGUCCUAGCCGUAAACGAUGGGCACUAGGUGUUGGGGGAGUCUACCCCCUCAGUGCCGCAGCUAAUGCAUUAAGUGCCCCACCUGGGGAGUACGAUCGCAAGGUUGAAACUCAAAGGAAUUGACGGGGGCCCCCACAAGCGGUGGAGCAUGUGGUUUAAUUCGAUGCAACGCGAAGAACCCUUACCUGGGCUUGACAUGCAGGGGACAGGGUG